rnacentral:lncRNA from 1 species
UUUAAAUUGUUUCUUUUUUGGUUAUUUCGGUUUUUUGUUAUGGCAUGUUAUGGUUGUGAACAUAAGUUUUGGUAGGUUUUUUUAAUGAGGUUAACGCCCUCCCCUACUCAAUUACGUUUCGUUUUCGCGGUUGUUCGUGAAGAGUGUUGGAUAUUAAUGGUAGAAUAUCCAAUCACGACUCAUGUUCGGAAAGUGGUGGACAGAUGUGACUGCUUCCACUACGAUUUUUUUUGUUAUGAGAGAGGCAUGGAAGGUAUGAAUGCGUGAGGUAUGGUAAACACGGAAGAUAUGAUGUAUGGCUACUUUAUAUGAGUGAUGUUUGUCAGGGGCGACACAACCUGGCUCACUUUUAGGUUUGAGCGGUCCUUAACAUGGCCAAAUUGGGUGUUCUGUAGUAGGUGGGUAUCGGGUGCUUACCACACCCGAGCACGGUUUGUGCAUUUUUGCGUAUUUGUGGCUACGCAGUUUGGUCGGUUUGGUGUGGAGAGCCAGCAGUCACCCAUUUUCAGGGGCUGUUUUUUUUGUUUCGGGCUCUCAUUUUUGGGCCAUAUCGACCGCGGUACACCGAUUGGUGGUACCUUUUUGUGAUUAUCGUGCUGGCGGGUUCAACGGCCAUUUUUCGGCGUUGGAACGACACACGGAGUUUGUUGCCACGUCUUUACCCGACUUCGUAGGAAGAAGGGUAAUGUUUUGUUUAGCCUACUACAGACAUGCAAUUGUUUUGAAUUUUUUUGAGUUUAGCUACAGCCAAAUGGUUGUAGGUAUGGUUUUGGUUUUGAUUUUUUUUUGCCAGGGUUAGGUGAGAACCACACCUGCGAGGAGUUGAGUGCAACUUUAAAUUGUUUUUAGAUUUGGGGUCUCGUCGUCAACGUAGUUAGUUUUUUUGGUAUUUUUAGGGAGAGUUGGCACAGAUUGGUGUGUCCAAUUCAACCAUACAUAGAUUUUUUGGUAACUAGCUUUUUUAGUUUGUUCACCUGAAGGGUUGAGACAAGUAGGUGUCGUCAACCUGUAGGGCUGUAACAAUGAUUUUGGUUUAGUUUUGGAAGUUAUAGUCGGAAGACUAUAACUUUGGUUUCGCCCGGUCUAGCUGAGUUUUUUUUUUUGGGAAUGCUGAACAUCGGUCCUGGCGGUUGGUUUUUUUGGUUUUCUCAGCACAACAAGCUUUAUUGCAAGUUGCACUGAGAAGGCAAACGGUUUGUUCACUGUUUUGGAAAUUAGCGGAGGUUUUUUUCUAUAUGCAGCGCAGUUGGCCGCAUAGUUUUUUUUCACCCUCCGAGGGUUGACGCGGGUUCGAGAUUUUUUUUAAAUAUUUUUUUUUGUGGUUAAACAGUAGUUUUGCUUGUUUUUAAAUACCUUUUGGUAUAAUUUUGUAGAUUUUGGGGGAUUUUUUUUUGAGAUUUUGCAGUCUCGAACUUGCGUCAGGUUUUUUUGAUUCUGAUAUUUUUUUGGUAGGUUUAGUUUUCUUGCCUUCAGAUUUUGUUUCUUUUUUUUGAUGAAAGUCGCUGAGGACAGCGAGCGGUUCACCUACGUUGAACCUUAAAUCGGGAAGGGGGGUAUUGUAACGUAGCAGAUUUUUUUGAUAGUCGGAAUUAAUAUUUUGGAUAGAUUUAAUUUUUGAAUGAAACACUUCCUUCUCGUUCAUUGCAUUAUCUGUUGCACUUCAAAUGCACAUAUUUAUGUUUAUCUGUUGUAGGGUUGCCAUACAACAAGUAUUAUUCGAAAUUGUAGGUAUUUUGGCUGUCAUUCCAGAAAAACUUUGUAUUAUUUUGAUAUUAGUUAAGUAUUGGUUUUUGGAAAAUAUAAUAUUUUAGAAACAUGAUAACAAAAGUUAUCAUAGGUUUUUUAAGACUGUUUCUGGAAUGACAUUUGUUGGGUUUUGUUUACUUCAAGGUCUGAUACAGAAACUGGAGUAAUUUUCAUUUAAUGAAUUAGAGUAUUUUAUUGUUUAUUCGUUUGCCACCCGGCUUUUGUUUUGGGUCCUUUAAAUUCGAGAUCAUUCAGUGCGCCGUUCUUUCUGUGACGAGAUCCUCUUGUAUAGUGAUCGGACGGCCGUAUAAGGGCCUGGAGCCCGGCAUGCCACGUGCUGCCGUGGCGUUCCAUAUUUUGUGUGGUGCGUUCUGUCAGUCUGACUGGCAGAAACAUGCUAAGGGUGGGAGUGCUCCUUGGAGAUCCUCGGUCUGCAGUCUGCAGGUCUCCGGUGAGCUCGCUUACAUUUUUUUGUUUAGUCUAUCACAGUGUGUGAGGGCACUCGACUAAUGUGACCAAUUUAUUUGUUUCAUAGGAGUCGGGAAGAA